UUGUAAUUUAGUAAUCCAUUUUUUAUUUUUAAAUGAUUCAAUAGUAAUGAACACAAUGCAGAUAAUAUAAAUUAUGAUAUAUAUUCUGUUAGCCUACUGGUUGUCAGCUCAAAUCCGUUUUCAACUCCGUCUGUUCCACUUCUCCGUCUCCUGCUUCUUUCACCACUUCUUCUGGUGGUGAUUCUUCAUCAGAAUUAUUUGCAAUCUUGCUAUCUUUCUCUUCUUCUGGUGGUGAUUCUUCAUCAGAAUUAUUUGCAAUCUUGCUAUCUUUCUCUUCUUCUAGUGGUGAUUCUUCAUCAGAAUUAUUUGCAAUCUUGCUAUCUUUCUCUUCUUCAUCCAAAGGUGAAUAUUCAUCAGAACUUGUAUCAAAUAGUCCUGACACUGUAACAUACAUUUAUAUUAUGUAAAAACAUAAGCUAAAAUAGUAUGCAUGUUGUAAAUAGUUUGUCAUUCGUUGUAUUAGA